rnacentral:lncRNA from 1 species
CUUUUCACUUCAGCAAAGUUGGUUUUAUUAGCUCUACUUCCCCCAAUUUGGUAGUAAUCCAGCUCACAAAUCCAUCCUUACAGCCUACUAAUCCAUGUUACAUCCUACUAGUUAAUGAUUGUCUUCUAAAUGAGGAAUGCCUUCCAAUUAUUUUUAUGUGCAAAUACAAUACUGCCGGUGCUUAAACAUCAAUAAUGGUAAAAACAAUAUGGUAAUUGCUCUAGACUGAACGUUUGUAUUUCUCUCAAAUUCAUAUGUUGAAGCCCUCAACCCCAAUGUGGCUGUAUUUUGAGAUAGAGCAUUUACAGGAGUAAUUAAGGUUAAAUGAGUCCACGAGGGUAGGGCUCUGAUCCAAAAGAAAUAGUGUCCUUAUAACGAGAGGAACCAGAGAGCUCUCUCUCUCUGCCAUGUAAGAAUACAGUAAGAAGGUUGCUGUCUACAAACUAAGAAGAGGGCCCUCACCAGAAUUCAAUCAUGCUGGCACCUUAUCUUGGACUUUCAAGCUCCAGAAUUGCAAGAAAAUAAAUUUCUGUUCUUUAAGCCA